UGAAGCGGCCGCGCCCCUCCCGGGGAGGUGGCCGCCCAUACAGCUGACCCUUGCCUAUCUAAUACCAUUCGUGAGCCCCCUUGCGGGGGACAGCAUGAGCCCCAUCGGCAGGGACGCCUGCCGACGGGACUCCCAAACCCACUGUACUUAAGCAUCCACCCAAUCUGAUAACCCAAAAAUCAUAA
rnacentral:misc_RNA from 1 species